UACGUAGGGGGCAAGCGUUGUCCGGAUUUAUUGGGCGUAAAGAGCGUGUAGGCGGCCUGGUAGGUCGGUUGUGAAAACUCGAGGCUCAACCUCGAGACGUCGACCGAAACCACCUGGCUAGAGUCCGGAAGAGGAGAGUGGAAUUCCUGGUGUAGCGGUGAAAUGCGCAGAUAUCAGGAAGAACACCCGUGGCGAAGGCGGCUCUCUGGGACGGUACUGACGCUGAGACGCGAAAGCGUGGGGAGCGAACAGG
rnacentral:rRNA from 1 species